CCCUUAGAUGUCCGGGGCCGCACGCGCGCUACACUGAAGGAAUCAGCGUGGCUUUCUCCCUGACCCGAAAGGGUUGGGAAACCCGUUGAAUCUCCUUCGUGAUGGGGAUUGGGGCUUGAAAUUGUUCCCCAUGAACGAGGAAUUCCCAGUAAGCGCGAGUCAUAAGCUCGCGUUGAUUACGUCCCUGCCCUUUGUACACACCGCCCGUCGCUACUACCGAUUGAACGGUUUAGUGAGGGCCUCGGAUUGGUCUCGGCCCGCUCUUUACCGGGCGGCGCCGUUGGUCGAGAAGACGCUCGAACUUGAUCGUUUAGAGGAAGUAAAAGUCGUAACA
rnacentral:rRNA from 1 species